GAUGAACGCUGGCGGCGUGCCUAAUACAUGCAAGUCGAGCGAACAGACGAGGAGCUUGCUCCUCUGACGUUAGCGGCGGACGGGUGAGUAACACGUGGAUAACCUACCUAUAAGACUGGGAUAACUUCGGGAAACCGGAUCUAAUACCGGAUAAUAUAUUGAACCGCAUUGUUCAAUAGUUCAAGACGGUUUUGCUGUCACUUAUAGAUUGAUCCGCGCCGCAUUAGCUAGUUGGUAUGGUAACGGCUUACCAAGGCAACGAUGCGUAGCCGACCUGAGAGGGUGAUCGGACACACUGGAACUGAGACAAGGUACAGACUCCUACGGGAGGCAGCAGUAGGGAAUCUUACGCAAUGGGGGAAAGCCUGAAGGAGCAAAACCGCGUGAGUGAUGAAGGAAUACGGAUCGUAAAACUCUGUUGUUAGGAAAGAAAAAAAGUGUAUGUAACUAUGCACGUCUUGACGGUACCAAAACAAAAAGCCACGGCUAACUACGUG
rnacentral:rRNA from 1 species